rnacentral:rRNA from 1 species
UACGAAGGGGGCUAGCGUUGUUCGGAAUUACUGGGCGUAAAGCGCACGUAGGCGGAUCGAUCAGUCAGGGGUGAAAUCCCAGAGCUCAACUCUGGAACUGCCUUUGAUACUGUCGAUCUAGAGUAUGGAAGAGGUGAGUGGAAUUCCGAGUGUAGAGGUGAAAUUCGUAGAUAUUCGGAGGAACACCAGUGGCGAAGGCGGCUCACUGGUCCAUUACUGACGCUGAGGUGCGAAAAGCGUGGGGGAGCAAACAGGG